UCCCAGGUAGCUUAGUGGUAAAGAACCUGCCUGCCAAUGUAGGAGACUCGGGUUCAAUACCUGGGUUGGGAA
rnacentral:tRNA from 1 species